AGAGCGAACGCUGGCGGCAGGCUUAACACAUGCAAGUCGAGCGCCCCGCAAGGGGAGCGGCAGACGGGAGAGUAACACGUGGGAACAUACCUUUUGGUUCGGAACAACUGAGGGAAACUUCAGCUAAUACCGGAUAAGCCCUUACGGGGAAAGAUUUAUCGCCGAAAGAUUGGCCCGCGUCUGAUUAGCUAGUUGGUGAGGUAAUGGCUCACCAAGGCGACGAUCAGUAGCUGGUCUGAGAGGAUGAUCAGCCUCAUUGGGACUGAGACACGGCCCAAACUCCUACGGGAGGCAGCAGUGGGGAAUAUUGGACAAUGGGCGCAAGCCUGAUCCAGCCAUGCCGCGUGAGUGAUGAAGGCCUUAGGGUUGUAAAGCUCUUUCGUUGGGGAAGAUAAUGACGGUACCAAAGAAGAAGCCCGGCUAACUUCGCGCCAGCAGCCGC
rnacentral:rRNA from 1 species